AGUUUGAUCCUGGCUCAGGAUGAACGCUGGCGGCGUGCCUAAUACAUGCAAGUCGAGCGGUAAGGCCCCUUCGGGGGUACACGAGCGGCGGACGGCUGAGUAACGCGUAGGAACAUACCCCAAAGUGAGGGAUAAGCAUCAGAAAUGGUGUCUAAUACCGCAUGUGCUCUAAGGAGUAAAGCUUUAUGCGCUUUGGGAAUGGCCUGCGUAAGAUUAGCUUGUUGGUGAGGUAAUGGCUCACCAAGGCGACGAUCUUUAGCUGGUCUGAGAGGAUGAUCAGCCAGACUGGGACUGAGACACGGCCCAGACUCCUACGGGAGGCAGCAGUAGGGAAUUUUCCACAAUGGGCGAAAGCCUGAUGGAGCAACGCCGCGUGCAGGAUGAAGGCCCUUGGGUCGUAAACUGCUUUUAUAGGUGAAGAUUAUGACGGUAACCUAUGAAUAAGGAUCGGCUAACUCCGUGCCAGCAGCCGCGGUCAUACGGAGGAUCCAAGCGUUAUCCGGAAUUACUGGGCGUAAAGAGUUGCGUAGGUGGCAUAGCAAGUAGGGCGUGAAAGCGUAUGGCUCAACCAUAUAAACAUGUCCUAAACUGCUAAGCUAGAAUAUAGAAGAGGUAGCUGGAAUUCCUUGUGUAGGAGUGAAAUCCGUAGAUAUAAGGAGGAACACCGAUGGCGUAGGCAGGCUACUGGUCUAUUAUUGACACUAAGGCACGAAAGCGUGGGUAGCAAACGGGAUUAGAUGCCCCGGUAGUCCACGCUGUAAACUAUGGAUGCUAGCUGUUACCAGUAUCGACCCUGGUAGUAGCGAAGCUAACGCGUUAAGCAUCCCGCCUGUGGAGUACGAGCGCAAGCUUAAAACAUAAAGGAAUUGACGGGGACCCGCACAAGCGGUGGAGCGUGUUGUUUAAUUCGAUGGUAAGCGAAGAACCUUACCCAGGUUUGACAUCCCGAGAAGUUUGCCGAAAGGCGAAUGUGCUUUAUUGAACUCGGUGACAGGUGUUGCAUGGCUGUCGUCAGCUCGUG
rnacentral:rRNA from 1 species